UGGGGAAUAUUGGACAAUGGGCGAAAGCCUGAUCCAGCCAUGCCGCGUGUGUGAAGAAGGUCUUCGGAUUGUAAAGCACUUUAAGUUGGGAGGAAGGGCAGUAAGCGAAUACCUUGCUGUUUUGACGUUACCGACAGAAUAAGCACCGGCUAACACUGUGCCAGCAGCCGCGGUAAUACAGAGGGUGCAAGCGUUAAUCGGAAUUACUGGGCGUAAAGCGCGCGUAGGUGGUUCGUUAAGUUGAAUGUGAAAGCCCCGGGCUCAACCUGGGAACUGCAUCCAAAACUGGCGAGCUAGAGUAGAGCAGAGGGUGGUGGAAUUUCCUGUGUAGCGGUGAAAUGCGUAGAUAUAGGAAGGAACACCAGUGGCGAAGGCGACCACCUGGGCUCAUACUGACACUGAGGUGCGAAAGCGUGGGGCGCAAACAGG
rnacentral:rRNA from 1 species